rnacentral:rRNA from 1 species
CCCAGACUCCUACGGGAGGCAGCAGUGGGGGAUAUUGCACAAUGGGGGAAACCCUGAUGCAGCGACGCCGCGUGGGCGAAGAAGUAUUUCGGUAUGUAAAGCCCUCUCAGCAGGGAAGAAGAAAUGACGGUACCUGAGUAAGAAGCACCGGCUAAAUACGUGCCAGCAGCCGCGGUAAUACGUAUGGUGCAAGCGUUAUCCGGAUUUACUGGGUGUAAAGGGGGCGCAGACGGCGAUGCAAGCCAGGAGUGAAAGCCCGGGGCCCAACCCCGGGACUGCUCUUGGAACUGCGUGGCUGGAGUGCAGGAGGGGCAGGCGGAAUUCCUGGUGUAGCGGUGAAAUGCGUAGAUAUCAGGAGGAACACCGGUGGCGAAGGCGGCCUGCUGGACUGCAACUGACGUUGAGGCCCGAAAGCGUGGGGAGCAAACAGGAUUAGAUACCCCGGUAGGG